GUUAUUUCUGAUUGCAGCUGGCAAGCAUUGCCGGGCUGUGACAAGCGCUGAGAUAUUAAGGCUGAAGCAUAAUUGCAUUCCUUGAUAAAAACAACAUGUCACAAGCACAACUCUUUUAAAGAGGAAACUAAUUUAGAGCCACGUCUAUUAGCAUUCCGUGUCGGUUGAAGCCCCUCUCGCCGAUAUCUGAUUAAAUGCUGCAGAAUCGCUCAAGUGAGAGAAGCCCCUUUCUCUCCCCCCGACCCACUGACCACUCUCUCAAACCUGCGAUCGGUUGCUCAGGUAAUGAUGCACAUGCAGUUUUGAGAUUAAAUGUUAUUAAAUUCAGUCAUGUAUGUCUGACCGACGCUCUCGAAAAGAAGAAAAGUUCAAGACUUGAUCGCCUUGUGUGGUUUUGAAUACUUUGGCACUUUUGGUGUUGGAGAACCAAGAGCCAGCAAAUUCCUCAACAGAAGCUACAAACAAACAGACGUCUGGAGUCCCUCAGGGGGGUCCAAAUGUCCACCCUCACUCCCAACCUCACCCCCCAUCAGGACCUGAAUCUGACUGGCUAAUUGAGGAUCUCGUGCGAAAGCAGAGGGCAGUGGGCCUGUUUACUUCUGGGAAGAGUCAUCUGUCUCUCUGGGCCAACAACUGCAUGUUGAGCUACACAUCAUGUCUGCUUGGUAACCGCCCAACAGAUGCAGAGGCUAAGUGCGGUAAUGAAAUAAUACUGCCAGACAUCAUGUCCAUGGUUUCCAUUAUUGUUAAAGAUUCUGGUUGCCCAAUAGCACCACUUAGGUAAUUUGUUUCUGUGUAUAAUCCUGUUGGCUGCUAUUAAAUUAAACUAACUGGUCAUUUGGGUUUGGGGGACUAUAAAUAAAUCCUGUUGCCACCAGGCACGGGCAGUAUGUGUUGUGUCUCAUUUGAUAAAGGGGAUGCACUUUAUAAUUUAAUCUCAAAAAUUGUGACCUCGCUGGGUCGGCCACCAUCAGAUGAUCCCAAAUAAUGGCUAAAGUAGUUCAUUACUGUCACUAAUGUAGUCACAGUCUCACUCAUAUCCAUAACCAGUGAUUUUUUUUCUCUCUCUUUUAUACUAGAAAAUCUAAAUCAUAAUCAGGC
rnacentral:lncRNA from 1 species